rnacentral:rRNA from 1 species
CAAACUCCGAAUGCCGUCAUCUUAUACUUGGGAGUCAGACUGUGGGUGAUAAGAUUCAUAGUCGAAAGGGCAACAGCCCAGAUCGUCAGCUAAGGUCCCUAAAUGUAAGUUAAGUGGUAAAGGAUGUGGGAUUGCACAGACAACCAGGAUGUUGGCUUAGAAGCAGCCACUCAUUCAAAGAGUGCGUAAUAGCUCACUGGUCGAGUGAUCCUGCGCCGAAGAUUGCCGGGGCUAAAACUUACUACCGAAGCUACGGCAUCAGUAAUGAUGGGUAGGGGAGCUUCCCAUACGGGUUGAAGCAUGACCGUAAGGACAUGUGGACAGUAUGGGAGUGAGAAUGUUGGCAUGAGUAGCGAGAUGUGGGUGAGAAUCCCACAGGCCGUAAACCCAAGGUUUCCAGGGGAAGGUUCG